rnacentral:tRNA from 1 species
UCCCUGGUGGUCCAGUGGUUAAGACUCAGUGCUUCGAAUGUAGGCGGGUGCAGGUUCGAUCCCUGUUCAGGGAA